rfam:Nomascus leucogenys chromosome 11, whole genome shotgun sequence.
GGUGGAUUGGAAAAGCUUGGAUUUUGAGGUUGGUUUAGACCUGGGUUCAAAUCUCAGAUCCACCU